AUUGAACGCUGGCGGCAGGCUUAACACAUGCAAGUCGAGCGGAGACUUCGGUCUUAGCGGCGAACGGGUGAGUAAUACCUAGGAAUCUGCCUAUUAGUGGGGGAUAACGGCUCGAAAGGGUCGCUAAUACCGCAUACGUCCUACGGGAGAAAGUGGGGGAUCUUCGGACCUCACGCUAAUAGAUGAGCCUAGGCCGGAUUAGCUAGUUGGUAGGGUAAAGGCCUACCAAGGCGACGAUCCGUAGCUGGUCUGAGAGGAUGAUCAGCCACACUGGAACUGAGACACGGUCCAGACUCCUACGGGAGGCAGCAGUGAGGAAUUUUGGACAAUGGGGGAAACCCUGAUCCAGCGAUGCCGCGUGUGUGAAGAAGGCC
rnacentral:rRNA from 1 species